rnacentral:rRNA from 1 species
AUUGAACGCUGGCGGCAGGCCUAACACAUGCAAGUCGAACGAGUGGCGGACGGGUGAGUAAUGUAUGGGAAACUGCCUGCUGGAGGGGGAUAACUACUGGAAACGGUAGCUAAUCCCGCAUACCAUCAGAAGUGCCCAGAUGGGAUUAGCUUGUUGGUGGGGUAACGUCUCACCAAGGCGACGCUCCCUCGCUGGUCUGAGAGGAUGACCAGCCACACUGGAACGGAGACGCGGUCCAGACUCCUACGGGAGGCAGCAUUGGGGAAUAGUGGACAAUGGGCUCAACCCUGUUACAGCCAUGCCGCGUGUAUGAAGAAGGCCUUCGGGUUGUAAAGUACUUUCAGCUGUGAAGCGUUACCCGCAGAAGAAGCACCGGCUAACUCCGUGCCAGCAGCCGCGGUAAUAC